GGGGGCAUAGCCAAAGUAGGAGAGUACCUGCCUAGCAAGCACAAAGCCUUGGAUUCAAACUCCAAUAUCCCCA
rnacentral:tRNA from 1 species